rnacentral:rRNA from 1 species
CGGCAGAAUCCUAGUGGCGAACGGGUGAGUAACGCGUAGGCAACCUGCCCUCCGGCCGGGGACAACAACUCCAAAGGGGUGCUAAUACCGGAUACGAAGUCUGUGCCGCAUGGUACGGAUUUGAAAGAUGGCCUCUGGUUUACAAGCUAUCGCCGGGGGAUGGGCCUGCGUCCGAUUAGCUGGUUGGUGGGGUAACGGCCUACCAAGGCGACGAUCGGUAGCCGGUCUGAGAGGAUGAACGGCCACAUUGGGACUGAGACACGGCCCAGACUCCUACGGGAGGCAGCAGUGGGGAAUCUUCCGCAAUGGGCGCAAGCCUGACGGAGCAACGCCGCGUUGAGUGAGGAAGUUCUUCGGAACGUAAAGCUCUGUUGUUCCUGACGAACCUCCCUUCUAUCAACAACGGAGGGGACUGACGGUAGGGAACGAGGAAGCCACGGCUAACUACGUGCCAGCCGCAGC